CCUGCUCGUGUUGGACUUGUAGCACCAAUUGAUGUUAUUGUUGGCCUGAUAUUUACAAAGGGAGAUCUCAAGGAAGUCAGUGAAGAGGUUGCCAAGUACAAGCCGGCUCAAAGUAAUUAUUAUGGAGGGUGAAUCUACGAGCUGUCGUCAUUUGAAUUUUAACGAAAAUGAAGCUAGUCGGGAAGGGGACUUUGAUGUUAUUGAUGAAGGCUUAAACAUUGAAACAGAUUUGGAUAUACCACAAAUGGGGUUGGAAUUCGAUACAGAAGAAGAUGCAUAUCAAUUUUAUUUGUCAUAUGCUAAAAAAGUGGGAUUUGGCAUAAGGAGAGGUAAAAUCC